rnacentral:rRNA from 1 species
CCUACGGGUGGCUGCAGUCGAGAAUCUUCGGCAAUGGGCGCAAGCCUGACCGAGCGACGCCGCGUGCGGGAUGAAGGCCCUCGGGUUGUAAACCGCUGUCAGAGGGGAUGAAAUAUUUGGGGGUACUCCCCCAAACUUGACAUAGCCUCAGAGGAAGUACGGGCUAAGUUCGUGCCAGCAGCCGCGGUAAGACGAACCGUACAAACGUUAUUCGGAAUCACUGGGCUUAAAGGGUGCGUAGGCGGCGCUGAAAGUUGGGUGUGAAAUCCCUCGGCUCAACCGAGGAAUAGCGCCCAAAACUACAGUGCUCGAGGGAGACAGAGGUGAGCGGAACUUAGGGUGGAGCGGUGAAAUGCGUUGAUAUCCUAAGGAACACCCGUGGCGAAAGCGGCUCACUGGGUCUCUUCUGACGCUGAGGCACGAAAGCUAGGGUAGCGAAC